CUCAGCGUGAUGCGAGGAUACUGUACUUUUAGAGUCAACCAUGUUUUAGUAAAUGACUGUUUUGCAUUGUUAUGUCAUCGGCUGGAGCUACACAGGACCGGGUAGGUUUCUUCAACAGGGGAAAACAGGGAGGAGUGUAACGGUUAAGGGCGCUUGUGCACACGCCGCUCGCGCCGUGUAAUUACAGCACCUACACGCUGCAGAGCCCUCCACUGUGUUUACACUUGACCACUGUGGGGGCAACCUGCGAUCAGUCGGCCGAGAGGCUUUGUCCGCGCGCGGGCCGUCAGGAGGCUCCCGUUUCGCGCCGCUGCUGCUUGUCCCUCCCGCUCGCCCGCGCGCCUUCGCCUCUCGCCGCGCGCGCGCCUCAUUACGGAUGCAUGCCUGCCGCACGAGCCCACCUUCGCUGCCUUCCAAAACUGUGGGUUUUUCUCUCAGCCAAAGAGCGGAGAGAAGUUUAAUUAGAGAAACCAGCACUUCUCGUCACUCCUUGCCUCUCACUUCUUUUCACUGCUCCUGGUUGGGGAGCCACGUGUGUCCUCAUUCAGUGAAGACUUGCCAAGUUCUUUUUAUCUCCGGGAAGCUGGUUCUGGCAGACAAGGUUCAGCGGAGAGCGCCCAAGCCGAGCGUCAUGGGUGAGGCCACUUCACAAAAGGUUCCCUGCCCUUUUACUGGGCAGGAUUUAUUAAAACAGCCAGCUUCUGACAAUUCAAUUGAAAAUCCACUGCUGGGUCUGUUUUCUCUCUAA
rnacentral:lncRNA from 1 species